rnacentral:rRNA from 1 species
CCAUGAGUAGAGUGGCAAACGGGUGAGUAACGCGUGGGCGACCUACCUCAGAGUGGGGGAUAACCUUCCGAAAGGAGGGCUAAUACCGCAUGACAUUCCGUCUUUAGAUAGACGGGUAUCAAAGCCGGGGAUCGCAAGACCUGGCGCUUGGAGAGGGGCCCGCGUCCGAUUAGCUAGUUGGUGAGGUAACGGCUCACCAAGGCUCCGAUCGGUAUCCGGCCUGAGAGGGCGGACGGACACACUGGGACUGAGACACGGCCCAGACUCCUACGGGAGGCAGCAGUGGGGAAUUGUUCGCAAUGGGCGCAAGCCUGACGACGCAACGCCGCGUGGAGGAUGAAGACCUUCGGGUCGUAAACUCCUUUCGACCGAAAUGAAUACCCAUCGACCUAACACGUCGAUGGGCCGA